ensembl:snRNA U6 U6 spliceosomal RNA
CAUUACUACAUUGUUAUAUAUUAAAAUUGGAAUAAUAUAAGAGGAUAAGUAUGGCCUCUGUCCAAGAUGUUAUGAGAACUUGUGAAGUAAAGCCUGUGUUU